UCGUACGAGCUUGACCGGGACGCUCGCAAAAGAUGUAGUUACGAGGUGCUCUCCUUCGUCGGACGAAACAUCUCCGAGGCCUUCCGCUCGCUCUUCUGCAGACCGUUUCUUGCAGCCCCGGUCGAUUUCUCCCAUCACCAGAAGCGAAAUCGGCGUACGACUCGUGAGCGGACGAUGGAAGUGGCGAUGCCUCAGCCGGUUUGCGCUAUGGAAGCGCCCGAUCUGCUUAACUGCGCCGUCGACACCCCCUUCGACCGCGACAGGUGCCUCCGCUUCCUGGACGCCCUUAGGAGCUGCGUCCUCGAAAAGAAACUGAAAAUUUUCGGUGGCAGAACAAGGCCAUGCAGCUGAAGCUCCAAAGAGAGAGGAAAUCUCUGAACACCAAAUGAAAAAUGAAGCCAUCAAAAGGCACCGGAGAAAAUUUUCCCAUUCUCGGUACACACUAUCUUGUCACCCAUUUUUCCUUUCAUUCAGUUGCUCAAUUGAAGCUGCAGUUGGCUAUUGUUACAGGAAGUUAAAUAAGAUUGAAUCACAUAUGGUGAAUGUGUUAUUUAAUUUGUCAUUUGACUUUAUUGGUUUAUUUGCA